rnacentral:rRNA from 1 species
AGCAGUAGCCGCGGGAAUACGGAGGGUGCAAGCGUUAAUCGGAAUUACUGGGCGUAAAGCGCACGCAGGCGGUCUGACAAGUCAGAUGUGAAAUCCCCGGGCUUAACCUGGGAACUGCAUUUGAAACUGUCAGGCUGGAGUCUUGUAGAGGGGGGUAGAAUUCCAGGUGUAGCGGUGAAAUGCGUAGAGAUCUGGAGGAAUACCGGUGGCGAAGGCGGCCCCCUGGACAAAGACUGACGCUCAGGUGCGAAAGCGUGGGGAGCAAACAGGAUUAGAUACCCGGGUAGUCCCUGUCUCUUAUAC